AUCCAGAUGAUUUGUCCCAAAUAGGACGAAAUGCGCAUCCUGGAU
rfam:Trichobilharzia regenti genome assembly, scaffold: TRE_scaffold0017521